GAUGAACGCUGGCGGCGUGCUUAACACAUGCAAGUCGAACGGAAAGGCUCCUGCUUGCAGGGGUACUCGAGUGGCGAACGGGUGAGUAACACGUGUGUGAUCUGCCCUGCACUUCGGGAUAAGCCUGGGAAACUGGGUCUAAUACCGGAUAGGACGAUGGCUUGGAUGCCAUUGUGGAAAGUUUUUCGGUGUGGGAUGAGCUCGCGGCCUAUCAGCUUAUUGGUGGGGUUAUGGCAUACCAAGGCGUCGACGGGUAGCCGGCCUGAGAGGGUGUACGGCCACAUUGGGACUGAGAUGAGGCACAGACUCAUCCGGGAGGCAGCAGUGCGGAAUAGUGCACAAUGGGAGCAAGCCUGAUGCAGCGACGCCGCGUGGGGGAUGAGGGCCUUCGGGUUGUAAACUACUUUCGCUAGGGACGAAGCGAAAGUGACGGUACCUGGAGAAGAAGCACCGGCUAACUACGUG
rnacentral:rRNA from 1 species